rnacentral:rRNA from 1 species
CCUACGGGUGGCAGCAGUAGGGAAUAUUGCUCAAUGGGGGAAACCCUGAUGCAGCAACGCCGCGUGGAGGAUGAAGGUUUUCGGAUUGUACACUCCUGUUGUUAGAGAAGAUAAUGACGGUAUCUAACGAAUAAGCACCGGCUAACUACGUGCCAGCAGCCGCGGUAAUACGGAGGGUGCAAGCGUUACUCGGAUUCACUGGGCGUAAAGAGCGCGUAGGCGGGAUAGCAAGUCAGAUGUGAAAUCCUAUGGCUUAACCAUAGAACUGCAUUUGAAACUGUGAUUCUGGAGUGUGGGAGGGGUAGGUGGAAUUCUUGGUGUAGGGGUAAAAUGCGUAGAGAUCAAGAGGAACACUCAUGGCGAAGGCGACCUGCUAGAACAUAACUGACGCUGAUGCGCGAAAGCGUGGGGAGCAAACAGGAUUAGAUACCCUUGUAGUC